rnacentral:lncRNA from 1 species
GGGUGCCAACCGUAGAUCUAAUCUAAUUGGGUUCAAAUUCAAUUUCUUCCAACUUAAUUAAUGAUAGAAAAUCAACUCUUGACUGCCCAUAAUGCUUGCAAUUAUCUUGGUCCAAUCUCCAUCUCAUAGAGAUUCAAGGCAAAAGAGGAUUUUGGGUUUACCAUGUGCUGGCAUGGUUUUCUAUACCCAAUAGAAUUUCUCAAAUCCAAAUCAAUUGGAACCACAUGAUCCUAAUUGUAUGAUCC